rnacentral:rRNA from 1 species
UAAAGGGCAUGCUAGUAGCGGCGAGUGAGCGGGAAGAGCUCAAAUUUGUAAUCUGGCGUCUUUCAUGCGUCCGAGUUGUAAUCUAUAUAAGUGUUUUCCGUGCUGGACCAUGUCCAAGUCCCUUGGAACAGGGUAUCAAAGAGGGUGACAAUCCCGUACUUGACAUGACCACCAUUGCUCUGUGAUACACUUUCUACGAGUCGAGUUGUUUGGGAAUGCAUCUCAAAAUGGGUGGUAAAUUCCAUCUAAAGCUAAAUAUUGGCGAGAGACCGAUAGCGAACAAGUACCGUGAGGGAAAGAUGAAAAGCACUUUGGAAAGAGAGUUAAACAGUACGUGAAAUUGUUGAAAGGGAAACGAUUGAAGUCCGUCGUGUUCAUUGGACUCAGCCGGUUUUCGGUGUAUUUCCUUUGAACGGGUCAACAUCAGUUUUGUCCGGUGGAUAAAGGCAGGAAGAAAGUGGCUCCCUCGGGAGUGUUAUAUCUUUCUGUCACAUACACUGGAGGAGACUGAGGACUGCAACUCGCCUUUUGGCCGGGGUUCGCCCACGUUCGAGCUUAGGAUGUUGACAUAUGGGCCUUUAACCGACCCGUCUUGAACACCGAACAAA